rnacentral:tRNA from 1 species
GGUGGGGCUCAGCGGUAGAGUGCUUGUCUAGCAUGUUCGAGGCCCUGAGUUCAAUCCUCAGCACCA